GCAUUGGUGGUUCAGUGGCAGAAUUCUCACCUCCCAUGUGAGACCCCAGGUUCGAUUCCUGGCCAGUUCA
rnacentral:tRNA from 1 species